UGACGUGCUUGCACUGAUUUCAACAAUGAAGCGAGUGGCGAACUGGUGAGUAACACGUGGGAAAUCUGCCCAGAAGCAGGGGAUAACACUUGGAAACAGGUGCUAAUACCGUAUAACAACAAAAUCCGCAUGGAUUUUGUUUGAAAGGUGGCUUCGGCUAUCACUUCUGGAUGAUCCCGCGGCGUAUUAGUUAGUUGGUGAGGUAAAGGCCCACCAAGACGAUGAUACGUAGCCGACCUGAGAGGGUAAUCGGCCACAUUGGGACUGAGACACGGCCCAAACUCCUACGGGAGGCAGCAGUAGGGAAUCUUCCACAAUGGACGAAAGUCUGAUGGAGCAAUGCCGCGUGAGUGAAGAAGGGUUUCGGCUCGUAAAACUCUGUUGUUAAAGAAGAACACCUUUGAGAGUAACUGUUCAAGGGUUGACGGUAUUUAACCAGAAAGCCACGGCUAACUACGUGCCAGCAGCCGCGGUAAUACGUAGGUGGCAAGCGUUGUCCGGAUUUAUUGGGCGUAAAGCGAGCGCAGGCGGUUUUUUAAGUCUGAUGUGAAAGCCUUCGGCUUAACCGGAGAAGUGCAUCGGAAACUGGGAGACUUGAGUGCAGAAGAGGACAGUGGAACUCCAUGUGUAGCGGUGGAAUGCGUAGAUAUAUGGAAGAACACCAGUGGCGAAGGCGGCUGUCUAGUCUGUAACUGACGCUGAGGCUCGAAAGCAUGGGUAGCGAACAGGAUUAGAUACCCUGGUAGUCCAUGCCGUAAACGAUGAGUGCUAAGUGUUGGAGGGUUUCCGCCCUUCAGUGCUGCAGCUAACGCAUUAAGCACUCCGCCUGGGGAGUACGACCGCAAGGUUGAAACUCAAAGGAAUUGACGGGGGCCCGCACAAGCGGUGGAGCAUGUGGUUUAAUUCGAAGCUACGCGAAGAACCUUACCAGGUCUUGACAUCUUCUGCCAAUCUUAGAGAUAAGACGUUCCCUUCGGGGACAGAAUGACAGGUGGUGCAUGGUUG
rnacentral:rRNA from 1 species